AUUGAACGCUGGCGGCAGGCUUAACACAUGCAAGUCGAACGGCAGCGGGGGAGAAGCUUGCUUUUCCUGCCGGCGAGUGGCGAACGGGUGAGUAAUACAUCGGAACGUGCCCUGUAGUGGGGGAUAACUAGUCGAAAGAUUAGCUAAUACCGCAUACGACCUGAGGGUGAAAGUGGGGAACCGCAAGGCCUCAUGCUAUAGGAGCGGCCGAUGUCUGAUUAGCUAGUUGGUGGGGUAAAGGCCUACCAAGGCGACGAUCAGUAGCUGGUCUGAGAGGACGAUCAGCCACACUGGGAAUGAGACACGGCCCAGACUCCUACGGGAGGCAGCAGUGGGGAAUUUUGGACAAUGGGCGAAAGCCUGAUCCAGCAAUGCCGCGUGUGUGAAGAAGGCCUUCGGGUUGUAAAGCACUUUUGUCCGGAAAGAAAUGGCCCUGGUUAAUACCUGGGGUCGAUGACGGUACCGGAAGAAUAAGGACCGGCUAACUACGUGCCAGCCGCCGCCGUAA
rnacentral:rRNA from 1 species